UACUGAAAACGAAGAGCACUGUACAAGCCCUAAGGGUGCUCCGCUAAGGGGAAAGAGGUUUGGGUGGUUCAUUUUAAGCUGAAUUUGGAAACAGGGUUGAGCCUUGAACAAUACAGGAGUAAGGGACACUGAUCCUCCACGAUCACAGGGUCGAAAAUCCAAGGAGAACUUCACAGUCAGCCCUCAGUACCCUCAGGUUCGAGUCCACGGAUUUGAGCAAUCACAGAUCGCGCAGCUCUGCAGCUCAUACUUACUGGGAAAAAUCCACACGGCAGCGGAUCCUGGAGGUUUAAGCUGCAUUAUUCAAGGGUCAACUACAUAGUGGGUUUCACCCCCUCAUUUAUGUGCAAAUGAGGAAAUGGUGGCCCAGAGAGUGAAAUACUUGCCCAGAGUCCCAGGGUUUCCUUGGGUGACUAUUAUACGGUGACUCCUUUUUUUUUUUUUUUUUUAAUCUGAAGGCUUUCUUCUCUGUGAUUUUUCCAACUACUUUUACCUGCUAGGAGGGUAGGUGGGUCACACACAGCACCUGCAAGCCUUAUGUCUCAAGCCACCUGAGAACCCUCAGCUUGGCACCUACCCAGGAAUAAACAGUACAUCUUGAAAAGGAAGCAAUAAAAAAGAUCACAAAGCCCAAGUUAAAGAUUUCCAUCUUGGAGUUUCCCACGAAGCCACUGCAGCAUCAGGGCAUAAGCGAUGAGUUGCAAAAUGGGAAACCGGGGCCUCCAUUUGAGGACAGUGAGAAUGAAAUAACACAGGAAAAUGAGACAAAGAGAAGUUCAGUGACAUGCCCAGGGUCGCAGAGCUCAAGAUGAACGGGCCAGCCUUGGACACGGAGUCUGUUUCGCUCCUCCUUAGGCCAGCACAUGGGCCACACAAUGGCUGGCGCUACUUCUCAAAAUGGUUACUCCCCCAAGCCCGACCCUUAUUUCUAAAUGGGAUGAUCUCCACUUUGACAAGCAGGCUAAGCUUCUUAAACCAAGUGGGGAAGGAGUUGGGGAGAGAGUUUUCCUGGGUUCCACCAGGCCUGGGACAGGCAAAGGCAGGCAGUCUACUGCCUGCAGGAAUCACUUCUGGCCACUAGGUAAGAGCACGCUAACCUGCUUUUCUACCAAAACUCGGUGUGGCCUGAGGCAAGUCGGGGUUUCAAUCGCCCCUCCCCCCACAAGAGGCAGAGCUGAUUGACCUCAAAGCUGCCUGGGACCAAGAGCUCUAUUGGGAAAGAAGCUAUUUACAGAUGCGGGGGAGGCCCUGGUAGUUUGUGACUUAACAAGAAUUUUAAUUAGUUCUCAGAAAACGCUGAGGUUAAUCAGAAAACGUCCAAGCAAACAGGCCAGAUCCCAAGAGGGAGUCCACCACUUGAAGGCUUUUCUGCAAGUUGCUGAGGGACUGUAGUGAAAUUAAAAGAACACCAGGACUUCCCGUUGUGGCACAUCGGAGACAAAUCCAACUAGGAACCAGGAGGUUGUGGGUUCGAUCCCUGGCCUCGCUCAGUGGGUUAAGGAUCUGGUGUUGUCGUGAGCUGUGG